UACGAAGGGGGCAAGCGUUGUUCGGAAUUACUGGGCGUAAAGGGCGCGUAGGCGGCUUAUCAAGUCAGGCGUGAAAUUCCCGGGCUCAACCUGGGGGCUGCGCUUGAUACUGAUGAGCUUGAAUGCGGGAGAGGAUAGUGGAAUUCCCAGUGUAGAGGUGAAAUUCGUAGAUAUUGGGAAGAACACCCGUGGCGAAGGCGGUUCUCUGGGACGGUACUGACGCUGAGACGCGAAAGCGUGGGGAGCGAACAGG
rnacentral:rRNA from 1 species